rnacentral:rRNA from 1 species
CUGAAGUGAUUGAUACCAAGCUUCCAGGAAAAGCCACUAAGCUUCAGUCUAGAGUUGACCGUACCGCAAACCGACACAGGUGGGCAGGAUGAAAAUUCUAAGGCGCUUGAGAGAACUCAGGAGAAGGAACUCGGCAAAUUAACACCGUAACUUCGGGAGAAGGUGUGCCCCGGUAGCGUGUAGAGACUUGCUCUCGAAGCGCGAUGGGGUUGCAGUGAAAUGGUGGCUGCGACUGUUUAAUAAAAACACAGCACUCUGCAAACACGAAAGUGGACGUAUAGGGUGUGACGCCUGCCCGGUGCCGGAAGGUUAAGUGAUGGGGUGCAAGCUCUUGAUCGAAGCCCCGGUAAACGGCGGCCGUAACAAUAACGGUCCUAAGGUAGCGAAAUUCCUUGUCGGGUAAGUUCCGACCUGCACGAAUGGCGUAACGAUGGCCACACUGUCUCCUCCUGGGACUCAGCGAAGUUGAAAUGUUUGUGAAGAUGCAAUCUACCCGCGGCUAGACGGAAAGACCCCAUGAACCUUUACUGUAGCUUUGCAUUGGACUUUGAACCGGUUUGUGUAGGAUAGGUGGGAGACUGUGAAGCCGGGACGCUAGUUUCGGUGGAGUCAACCUUGAAAUACCACCCUGAUUUGUUUGAGGUUCUAACCUUGGUCCGUGAAUCCGGAUCGGGGACCGUGCAUGGUAGGCAGUUUGACUGGGGCGGUCUCCUCCCAAAAGGUAACGGAGGAGUACGAAGGUACGCUUAGGGCGGUCGGACAUCGCCCACAAAGUGCAAUGGCAAAAGCGUGCUUGACUGCGAGACCCACAAGUCGAGCAGGUACGAAAGUAGGUCAUAGUGAUCCGGUGGUUCUGUAUGGAAGGGCCAUCGCUCAACGGAUAAAAGGUACUCUGGGGAUAACAGGCUAAUUCCUCCCAAGAGUUCAUAUCGACGGGGGAGUUUGGCACCUCGAUGUCGGCUCAUCACAUCCUGGGGCUGUAGUCGGUCCCAAGGGUAUGGCUGUUCGCCAUUUAAAGUGGUACGCGAGCUGGGUUUAAAACGUCGUGAGACAGUUUGGUCCCUAUCUGCCGUGGGCGCUGGAAAUUUGAAGGGGGCUGCUCCUAGUACGAGAGGACCGGAGUGGACGAACCUCUGGUGUACCGGUUAUGGCGCCAGUCGUAUCGCCGGGUAGCUAAGUUCGGAAGAGAUAAACGCUGAAAGCAUCUAAGCGUGAAACUCGCCUUAAGAUAAGAUUCCCCGGAGUCUUGAACUCCCUGAAGGGUCGUCGAAGACCACGACGUUGAUAGGUCAGGUGUGGAAGCGCAGCAAUGCGUUAAGCUAACUGAUACUAAUUGCCCGUGCGGCUUGACCAA